rnacentral:lncRNA from 1 species
UUGACUCGAAGGAAUUCAGUGGUUCCUGGAAAAAAUGAUUUAUAUACUCCCGAGAAGACCUUUGAAAGCACUUUUUUUCUUUUUGCCUUAACUUUUGCCUAGUAGCCGCCCUUUCGGGUUUUCGACUCUAGCAGGCUCUUUGCCCUAACUUUUGCCUAGACCGCCCUUUUGGGUUUUCAGCCUAGCGGGCUCAAUUCUUGCCUGAAGCCGUCCUUUCGAAUUUUCAACUCCAGCUUUUCUUUUUCUUUUCUUCUCUUUUUUUUUUAUUUUUUUUAUAUUGGCAAAGAGAAAAAUGCUAUUGAUGAUGCAAGCUUAUGUUUGUGACCGCGCCUUUAUGGCUGCCUAC